AUCCGGGAGUGAGGGUAUGGGUGCUAAGGUCCAUAUCCGAGAGGGAAAGAACCCAGACCAUCAGCUAAGGUCCCAAAAUAUAUGUUAAGUUGAACUAACGAGGUUGAACUGCUUUGACAGCUAGGAUGUUGGCUUGGAAGCAGCCAUUCAUUUAAAGAGUGCGUAACAGCUCACUAGUCGAGCGGUUCGGCAUGGAUAAUAAUCGGGCAUAAACAUAUUACCGAAGCUAUGGGAUAGAAAUAUCGGUAGGGGAGCAUU
rnacentral:rRNA from 8 species